GAAGGGGGCUAGCGUUGUUCGGAAUUACUGGGCGUAAAGCGUAUGCAGGCGGACUUUUAAGUCGGGGGUGAAAUCCCGAGGCUCAACCUCGGAACUGCCUUCGAUACUGGAAGUCUUGAGUCCGGGAGAGGUGAGUGGAACUCCGAGUGUAGAGGUGAAAUUCGUAGAUAUUCGGAAGAACACCAGUGGCGAAGGCGGCUCACUGGCCCGGUACUGACGCUGAGAUACGAAAGCGUGGGGAGCAAACAGGAUUAGAUACCCUGGUAGUCCACGCCGUAAACGAUGGGUGCUAGCCGUCGGGGAGCUUGCUCUUCGGUGGCGCAGCUAACGCUUUAAGCACCCCGCCUGGGGAGUACGAUCGCAAGAUUA
rnacentral:rRNA from 1 species